UCACUCUCUCAGCCUCGAAUUCAAUAUCCUCAUUUUCCUAUCGAUAAUCCAUCUCCACACAAAACGCUUCCAUGGCUUCCAUCGUCGGAGCCCCAUCCACUCCCUCUAAAUCCCUAUUCACAUCACCGUCACUUUCAAACCCUAAGCCCACUUCCUUUUUCCACAAAACUCAAACCCUAGCCACCAAAUCUAACCCCCCUUUCGCCUCCUCUUUCACCAAUGCCUCCUCCAUUUUCCGAUACUCCGUCCUUUCUUCUCCGUCCACCGGAGCUUCUCCAUUUCGGCGCCGCUCACUCACUGUCCGCGCCGCCAGAGGCAAGUUCGAGCGCAAGAAGCCGCACGUCAACAUUGGAACCAUCGGCCACGUGGAUCACGGCAAGACCACUCUCACGGCGGCUCUGACCAUGGCGCUGGCAUCCAUGGGGAACAGCGCUCCCAAGAAGUACGACGAGAUUGACGCGGCGCCGGAGGAACGGGCGCGUGGUAUCACCAUCAACACCGCUACGGUUGAGUACGAGACGGAGAGUCGGCAUUACGCCCACGUGGAUUGCCCAGGCCACGCUGACUACGUCAAGAACAUGAUCACUGGCGCGGCUCAGAUGGACGGCGCCAUUCUCGUCGUCUCUGGCGCCGAUGGGCCGAUGCCGCAGACCAAAGAGCAUAUUCUUCUCGCCAAGCAGGUUGGAGUGCCCAAUAUGGUGGUUUUCCUCAAUAAGCAAGACCAGGUUGAUGAUGAAGAGCUUCUUCAGUUGGUUGAAUUGGAGGUUCGUGAGCUUCUCGCUUCGUAUGAAUUUCCCGGCGACGAUAUUCCCAUUGUAUCCGGUUCAGCAUUGCUAGCCCUAGAGGCAUUGAUGGCAAACCCUAGCAUUAAGAGAGGAGAGAAUGAAUGGGUCGAUAAAAUCUAUGAAUUGAUGGAUGCUGUUGAUAGUUACAUUCCAAUUCCACAGCGCCAGGUCGAUUUGCCCUUCCUCCUUGCAGUUGAAGAUGUGUUUUCGAUCACUGGUCGUGGGACUGUGGCAACAGGUCGUGUAGAAAGGGGUACAGUCAAGGUUGGGGAGACUGUUGAUCUUGUUGGAUUGAGAGAGACUCGGACCACUACUGUUACUGGAGUUGAGAUGUUUCAGAAAAUUCUAGAUGAGGCACUUGCUGGUGACAACGUGGGGCUUUUGCUGAGAGGUAUUCAGAAGGCUGAUAUCCAGAGGGGGAUGGUUCUGGCAAAGCCUGGAACUAUUACGCCACACACUAAGUUCUCUGCCAUUGUUUAUAUUUUGAAGAAGGAGGAGGGUGGGAGACAUUCGCCCUUUUUUGCAGGGUAUAGGCCACAAUUCUACAUGAGGACUACUGAUGUCACAGGCAAGGUUGCACAAAUCAUGAAUGAUAAGGAUGAAGAGUCAAAGAUGGUUAUGCCGGGAGACCGUGUAAAGAUGGUUGUGGAGCUUAUAAUGCCUGUGGCAUGCGAACAAGGAAUGAGAUUUGCUAUUAGAGAAGGGGGGAAGACUGUGGGUGCUGGUGUAAUCCAGUCCAUUAUUGAAUGAUCUUGGAGUUCAUUUAAUAUUAUUGAUGUUUUUCAUGUCUGGUAUCUGGUCCAGGAUUGCUCUUGAAGACAACUCUUUUUUUUUUUUUUUUUUUUUUUUCAGGAAAGCUCCUCUGAAAGACUAUAUGCUUCCUUUCUUUUUCUUGUGAAUGGAAAAACAAAAAUUUUAUUUAUGCAACAAAAUGAAGUUAUAGCAGGAAGAGAGGAGGAUACCACACUAAUAGUACUUUAGGCUUGCUGAGUUGAGGUUGGCAUUUUGGUUCUUGUAGAAACAUUUGCAGCACUGAGGGAGAAGAAGGAAGCAAUUUGCCCCAGGAUACAUGCUCAUUUAUCAAGCAAUAUUAUCAUGACAUGUUGGUAGCCUUGGCAAGCAUUUGUUAGUAUGCAUUUGCAGAUGAUAUUAUUCACAUGCGCCAGAUGAGCACUUGGAUCAGGGGAAUGGAUUGAUAGCUUUGCUUCCUUUUUUAAGUUUUUGGUUUAAGGUAAUAAAAGAACAUUCAUCAAGGUAAUAUAUCUGUAAAACCUUGUAUGGGUGACAUUAAAACUAAACCGAAGAACAUCAGGAAAAUGAAUUGUGUAGUUUUAUUUUAAA